rnacentral:rRNA from 1 species
UGAGGAAUAUUGGUCAAUGGGCGCAAGCCUGAACCAGCCAUCCCGCGUGAAGGAAGAAGGCGCUAUGCGUCGUAAACUUCUUUUACAGGGGGAGAAUUUUCCGGUCGUGACCGGAAUUGAUGGUACUCUGGGAAUAAGCAUCGGCUAACUCCGUGCCAGCAGCCGCGGUAAUACGGAGGAUGCGCGCGUUAUCCGGAUUUAUUGGGUUUAAAGGGUGCGUAGGCGGAGCAAUAAGUCAGUGGUGAAAUUCUGCAGCUUAACUGUAGACUUGCCAUUGAUACUGUUGGUCGUGAGUAUGGUCAAGGUAGGCGGAAUGUGUAAUGUAGCGGUGAAAUGCUUAGAUAUUACACAGAACACCGAUUGCGAAGGCAGCUUGCUGGGCCAAUACUGACGCUGAUGCACGAAAGCGUGGGGAUCGAACA